rnacentral:rRNA from 1 species
AGAGCGAACGCUGGCGGCAGGCCUAAUACAUGCAAGUCGAACGCACCUUCGGGUGAGUGGCGGACGGGUGAGUAACACGUGGGAACGUGCCCUUUGGUUCGGAAUAAUCCGGGGAAACCUGGCCUAAUACCGGAUGUGCCCUUCGGGGGAAAGAUUUAUCGCCAUUGGAGCGGCCCGCGUCUGAUUAGCUAGUUGGUGGGGUAAUGGCCCACCAAGGCGACGAUCAGUAGCUGGUCUGAGAGGAUGAUCAGCCACACUGGGACUGAGACACGGCCCAGACUCCUACGGGAGGCAGCAGUAGGGAAUCUUGCGCAAUGGGCGAAAGCCUGACGCAGCCAUGCCGCGUGAAUGAUGAGGGUCUUAGGAUUGUAAAAUUCUUUCAGCGGGGAAGAUAAUGACGGUACCCGCAGAAGAAGCCCGGCUAACUUCGUGCCAGCAGCCGC